CCUACGGGUGGCAGCAGUGAGGAAUAUUGGUCAAUGGCCGAGAGGCUGAACCAGCCAAGUCGCGUGAGGGAAGACGGCCCUACGGGUUGUAAACCUCUUUUGUCGGGGAGCAAAGCGAGUCACGUGUGACUCAUUGAGAGUACCCGAAGAAAAAGCAUCGGAUAACUCCGGGCCAGCAGCCGCGGUAAUACGGAGGGUGCGAGCGUUAUCCGGCUUUAUUGGGUGUAAAGGGUGCGCAGGCGGAGGUGCAAGUCAGCGGUAAAAUUGCGGGGCUCAACCCCGUACUGCCGUUGAAACUGCAUCCCUUGAGUGCGCGAGAAGUAUGCGGAAUGCGUGGUGUAGCGGUGAAAUGCAUAGAUAUCACGCAGAACUCCGAUUGCGAAGGCAGCAUACCGGCACGCAACUGACGCUCAUGCACGAAAGCGUGGGUAUCGAACAGGAUUAGAUACCCUGGUAGUC
rnacentral:rRNA from 1 species